rnacentral:lncRNA from 1 species
GGUAUUGUCUUCCAGGAGGAGAACUGGUUUUAGGAGAAAGAAAACGAGUUUGAUUUGGGAUACUUUGAGUUUUAUGAUGCCUGAGGGACAUACAUGUGGAGUUAUCACUAAGACGUUUGAAAGGAAAGGAUGCAUAUCUUCUUCAGAUUCUUAAAGGAGUUCAUGACUCUGAAAAGAUCAAGAACCACUAGUGUCAAGUAUAAAAGGAAAAGAGCCAAGGGCACCCAGUUCACUGUGGAAGAGGGAUGGUGAGAGAGAAUGCUUGUAUAUUUCCCAACUGUGAAGAGAAUGCUUUAUGAGGUGUGUGUUGCUGGUUUGCAGAAAUGGCUGUUUUUUGUCAUCACUUGCUGGGCUAGAUCAGGUCCUCUUCUAUGACUUUUUAAAGACCUCUGUUCACACAGCUGCUUUGGCAAGUCAGGAAUCAAACUGACAGCCCAUUGGAAAGGCAUACCCUGUCACAAGUCUAAAGAGAAACAGAGUGACAGUUCCCAGGCUCAAGUGCAAGGCGCGCCGCUCAAUCUUCUUUGGCUGGCUAGGAUCUUGGUUGAUGCAGGGCGCCGAUGCCAGACAGCAGAGGGCCUGGAGUAACAAAAACAACGCCCCGCAAGUGUGAUAUGGAUCAAUGUUGGGCUCUGCUCCACGUCGUCACUCAGGGAGCCUGGCUUAUUCCCUUGUGUCACUCCACUAUCUUCUGGGACUUUGUUUCCCUCUGCAUUCAGCUACACAUAUGGGGAAAGUGAGAAAAUGUGGAGAAAGCAUACCCACUCUUAACUGCAUUCCCCGGAGGUGAUGCAGGUCACUUCUAUUUACAUUUCAUUGGCUGGAACUCAGUCCAGUGAUUCCUUCUAACUGCGGGGGAGGCUGGGAAAUGUAGUUUGGUGGUGGGACCAGAAGAAGCAGAGAGCUCUCUGCCACAAUGUGCAAUCAUUUUCAAAUAAAUAUAAAGAAAUAAAAUGGGCUUGAUGCUAAAAACAAUAUAAAACAUAUUUAAUAUUUACAUUCUUACAGUGCAUACUGUUAUGAAUAUCAAGUCUGUUUGUACCAUAGAUUGAUUCAUUUACUUAUUCAACAGAUAUUUAUUGAGUGCCCACUAUGUGCCACUUUGCUAGACACUGG